CACUAGCUCCAGCACUAAAAUAAAACAAGUAAAAUUACAAUCGACAACAAUCAAUGACAUCUAACAUUAAAAUAAUCAAAACUAAUAUACAUAAUUAAUAUACAAAAGCAAUAACAAAGAUUACAUCUAAUCUUCAAUUCAGAUCGAUGUUCAUCUGAAACUCCAAACAAUAACAGAAACAGAAAGUUAUCUAUAUCACAAACCCAAAAAUAAUCCAUAUCAGUUCAUAUUAAGCAAAUCAGAAGAAAGCAACACAUUCAAACCUAUAAAUACCAACAAUCACAAAUCCAGAUAUAAUGUGUAAAGGGUAGACAAACAAGACACAAGCUUUACUGCAUCACCAGAAUUUAAGCUUUAAAUCCACACAAACAAAUUGCAUCAACGGAUCAAAUAGGCAUAGAUGUACACAUAAAGUGAUCUAUGAUAUACAUAUAUUGACGUUUUGGCAGCUAAGAAAAUACAUGGAAUUCGAAAAGAAUACCCAGCUAAAAUAUCUAUUUUUGCUUACAGUUCCGAGAGAUAGUUAAGAAAUAGAAUCUCAAAUCUAAAUAGAACCAAAUACAACUAUUCAGCUCAUCUGAACUGAGCCUUAAUUUUUCAUGGAGAAACUAAAAACCAAAGUUGAAGAAAAAUCUAAGCUUUCAUAUGUUUUUUGUAUGAGUUAAUUCAUUUUCUUAUCAAAUACAGAUCAAAAAGAGAAAUUCCUCACCAGUUGACGCAAACUUCAGCGAAACAGAUUGAUUGACACUUUAAACACAAAGAUAUAACAGAUUGUUUGAAUGUGAAUGUUUAGGGAAAAAGGGGUUUUUCCCAUUGAGGUCCUAACUUUUACUGUUACACAACUAAAUUUUAAAAAUAAAUUAAUUAAAAUUUAUAAAUUAGACCAUUUCGUGAAAUUAAUUGAACGAUUAUUUAAUAUUUUUUUACAUAUAUGUACACAUAAAAAAAAUUAAAACAUUUUUUAUGUGGGAAAAAAAAAAUACUUACAAAAUAGAAGAACAAUACUUUUGAUUUUCUUCUCUUUGGUAUUGGGGUUCUUCUUAUAUGUUGUAGCUCUUCUCCUUCAUCUUAGAUCCUCUUCAUUUGGAUUUAUCUUUCAUAUUGGGUUUAUUUUUUUUCCUCUCGGUUGAAUUCUUUUUCUUGUUAUUUGACUUAAACAUUGUUCUUUUAUCUUCUUUUGUUUUCCAUCUUUUUUUCAUAAAUAUAUCUAUAUUAAUAGGUGUUUAUUUAUAAAUAGCUUAUGAAUUUGCGAUUAAGGCUUUACUAGAAGUCCUAAUUUUAUCAUAGUUGAGGAAGUACAUAAUGGUGAUUGGGAGCAAUUUUUAGGUUUUUC
rnacentral:lncRNA from 1 species